rnacentral:rRNA from 1 species
UGUGGCAGCGGGAAUUCGAUUAGAGUUUGAUCCUGGCUCAGAGUGAACGCUGGCGGCGUGCCUAAUACAUGCAAGUCGAACGGAAUUUAAGAGAGCUUGCUCUUUUAAAUUUAGUGGCGCACGGGUGAGUAAUAUAUAGCUAAUCUGCCCCUUGCUGGAGGACAACAGUUAGAAAUGACUGCUAAUACUCCAUACUCCUUUUUACCAUAAGAUAAAUCGGGAAAGAAUUUCGGCAAGGGAUGAGACUAUAUCGUAUCAGCUAGUCGGUGGGGUAGCGGCCUACCGAGGCUAUGACGCGUAACUGGUCUGAGAGGAUGAUCAGUCACGGGUAACUUAGACACGGUCCAAGCUAGUGGUCGCAAUUAAA